rnacentral:rRNA from 1 species
CGUAGGGCGCAAGCGUUGUCCGGAAUUAUUGGGCGUAAAGAGCUCGUAGGCGGUCUGUCGCGUCUGUUGUGAAAACUCGAGGCUCAACCUCGGGCUUGCAGUGGAUACGGGCAGACUAGAGUGCGGUAGGGGAGACUGGAAUUCCUGGUGUAGCGGUGGAAUGCGCAGAUAUCAGGAGGAACACCGAUGGCGAAGGCAGGUCUCUGGGCCGCAACUGACGCUGAGGAGCGAAAGCAUGGGGAGCGAACAGG